AUGUUUGCUUUAGCAACAUGUAUACUAAAAUUGGAACAAUAAAGAGAAGAUUAGUAAGGCCCCUGUGCAAGGAUGACAUGCCAAUUUGUAAAGCAUUCCAUAAAAAA
rnacentral:snRNA from 1 species